UGUAGCUCAGAGGUAGAGCACAUGUCUGGUGGGCAUGAGGCUCUGGGUUUGAUCCCUAUCA
rnacentral:tRNA from 1 species